rnacentral:rRNA from 1 species
UAGGGAAUCUUCCACAAUGGACGCAAGUCUGAUGGAGCAACGCCGCGUGAGUGAAGAAGGUUUUCGGACCGUAAAGCUCUGUUGUUGGUGAAGAAGGAUAGAGGUAGUAACUGGCCUUUAUUUGACGGUAAUCAACCAGAAAGUCACGGCUAACUACGUGCCAGCAGCCGCGGUAAUACGUAGGUGGCAGGCGUUGUCCGGAUUUAUUGGGCGUAAAGCGAGCGCAGGCGGAAGAAUAAGUCUGAUGUGAAAGCCCUCGGCUUAACCGAGGAAUUGCAUCGGAAACUGUUUUCUUGAGUGCAGAAGAGGAGAGUAGAACUCCAUGUGUAGCGGUGGAAUGCGUAGAUAUAUGGAAGAAUACCAGUGGCGAAGGCGGCUCUCUGGUCUGCAACUGACGCUGAGGCUCGAAAGCAUGGGUAGCGAACAGGAUUAGAUACCCUGGUAGUCCAUGCCGUAAACGAUGAGUGCUAAGUGUUGGGAGGCUUCCGCCUCUCAGUGCUGCAGCUAACGCAUUAAGCACUCCGCCUGGGGGAGUACGACCGCAAGGUUGAAAC